GCACCUUCCUGGCCUUUGGCUACGAUCAAGUGUAGUGCUACACUUAUCUCUGGUAGUGAAGCGUUCCUGCUUCACAUCCAGAUUCAACUUAUUUCUUGUGGGGGACCAGUUGGCACUCACGCCCACAGCUUGCUCUGGGCAGCCGCUGGUCGCCGAUCGGCUUUGCACUGCACGCACCGCGAAGUUCUUCAAACGGUCGACCCCUU
rnacentral:snRNA from 1 species